AGAUUCCCAAAAAUUCCCAAAUUUUGGCCUCCAAACCCGACUACGGAGAGAUCCUGGCCCAGCAGGGCCCGGCCCUGCGCUCCCUGCAGCUCCUGGUGGAUGAGGCCCAGCAGGCCGGGAAAAUGGUGCUGGAAUUCCACGAGGAGAGCAGGAGCUUCCUCAGGGACCUCUCGGAGCAGCUGGCUUCCCGAGCAUUCCGGAGGCUUCAGGGAUCCCCCGCUCGGAAGCUGCUGCAGAGGAGGCCCCAGAAGGUUCUGCCCGAGGAGGGGGAAUAAAAUAAAAAAAAAAAAGGAGGAAAAAAUCCCAAAAUCCCGAGGUUUUCCCUCAAAAUAUUCCCGUUUUGUUUGUUUUUGGUUUUUUUUUGGGGGGGGGGGAUUUUUGGAGCGGCAUUUCCGGGUUUGGGGGCGGGGCGAGGGUGGUGAUUGGUUGGUGCGGGUGUCAAUCAGAGAGAUCAGCCAAUCACGGCGUGGGGUGGGGGGGCAACAUCUGGAAGGGGGAGCCCGAGGUCGGGGUGGGGCCAUCAACAUCUGGAUGGGGACCUGGAAAUCCAGGUGAGGACCCCAACAUCUGGAUGGGGAUCUCAUGGUUUGGGGGGGACCCCAACAUCUGGAAUGGGGACUUUGAAAUCCGG
rnacentral:lncRNA from 1 species